AAAAACUACACAGGAAGGAACCAAAAAGUCCUUCCCCACCUUAUAUGCCCCUUGACCAAAGAAGUCCAAUCACCAAAUUUUUCCCAUCUGAAGAUAGACUAAAAAUGAUUAUUUUUCUGAAUACUGAGAAAAUUUUUGCUUUAUAUGGUAAUACAGUUAAUGGCAACUAUGGAGAACGAAAACAAUCUUUAAUGAAACAAAAAAUAACCAACAUUUAUGACCGAGUAAUUAUUGAAAUAUGUCGUGAAAUUAUGGAAAAGAUAAAAAAAUCACUGAUCCGAAAUGAACAUAGUAAUUUCCAUAGUCUACAAAAUAUUAAAAAAUAUGCACACAAAGAAGUUCGAGACGCUUUCUUCAUGUUUAAGAUAUGCUCAAGUCCUUCCCAAGAAUUAGAUUUGUAUUGUGAUAAAGCAAAGCGAGAUAAUAUUGAAAAGGUUAUUAUGAAAGACAUAUACGAUGAGGAAGUGGAGUGCAGCUGUAAAGAAAAUUCUGUUGUAGAAUCGAUCUUUGAUGAAAUGGUAGGAAGCUAUGCAAAACAAAUCAUUAAAUAUAUGUUUAAAAGGAUCUGCCUACAAGUGAAACUAUGCUGAAAUGGUUAAAUAAAUAUUUUUUUUCAUAA
rnacentral:sRNA from 1 species